ensembl:misc_RNA Metazoa_SRP Metazoan signal recognition particle RNA
GCCGGGCGUGGUGACGCAUGCCUGUAAUCCCAGCUACUUGGGAGGCUGAGGCAGGAGAAUCGCUUGAACCCGGGAGGCAGAGGUUGCAGUGAGCCAAGAUUGAACCAUUGCACUCCAACCUGGGAGACAGAGCGAGACUCUGUCUCAA